GGACAGAGAAAGGAAUUAAGUCGAUUACAUCGACCUCAGUGCGAAACUGGUACUUUUAUUUAUCGACCCCGAAAGGAUGAAAGGCAAAGUCGACCUCGGCGGAAUUUGAACUCAGAACGUAACGACAGACGAAAUACCGCUAAGCAUUCCGCCCGGCGCGCUAACGUUUCUGCCACGUUCAACUUGUACAAUACAAAGUUAACUUUGUUUUGACUCCCACUAGUAUCUCUUCCACUUUACUUACAUCACCAUCCUCAUAGAGUAACUACUGGACAUCGUACAAAUUCAACUAUGCACCACUGAUAGUGAUAAUGGCUUUGAGCCUCAACAUGGUCGUUCGCCGUGUUAGAAAUAGCAGUAAAAUAACCCUCCAGUCACAUCCUAUUGUCUUAAGGGAGAGAGAGAAAAAAAAAAGGAUACAUCGGAUAAUUUAGACAUAAUGUAACUAAAAAUAAAGAUCUAGUUAUGGCUGGAAUGUCUUUCAUCAUAGAUCGGGACUGAACUGACUUUAAACAACACUAACAGGAGAUGAAUCUGAUGUCCGAAAAAAAAAAACUCCGACUGUCCGUUAGCUGGAAAGGUAAGUCGUCCUUAGCAUCGAAGUUUUGUAUUCAACUUCAAGAAAAUUAGCAUGUCCUUCAUUUUGAUAAUUGUUAUUCAAUAUUUGAGGAUAAUGUUUUAAUCCAAGAUUAUAUUUACCAUUGCUAAAUUUGGAAUAACCGCUUCAGAUAGUAAAUAACACCGAGGCACAACGUUCAUUCAUCUGUGUAAAGGAAGUUGUCAAGUUACACGCACACAGCUUUAUUUAUUUGUUAUUUGUAAUGUUUUUUUUCUUCUUCUGUGUACGCAGAUGCACGAAAGCAUCUAUUCAUUUUUACUUCUAAGCAAUAUAUAUACAUACAUACAUACAUACAUACAUACAUACAUAUAUAUAUACACAUACAUAUAUAUAUACAUACAUAUAUACAUACAUAUAGAUAUAUAUACAUACAUAUAUAUAUACAUACAUAUAUAUAUACAUACAUAUAUAUAUAUAUACAUACAUAUGCAUAUAUACAUACAUAUAUAUAUGUACAUACAUAUGCAUAUAUACAUACAUAUAUAUACGUACAUACAUAUAUAUACGUACAUACAUAUACAUACAUAUAUAUAUAUAUAUACAUAUAUAUAUACAUACAUAUAUAUAUACAUACAUAUGCAUAUAUAUAUAUAUAUACAUAUGCAUAUAUAUAUACAUAUAUAUAAAUACAUACGUAUGCAUAUAUACAUACAUAUGCAUAUAUACAUAUAUAUAUGUACAUACAUAUAUAUACAUACAUACAUAUACAUACAUACAUAUACAUACAUAUAUAUAUACAUACAUAUAUAUAUGUAUAUAUACAUACAUAUGCAUAUAUACAUACAUAUGCAUAUAUAUAUAUACAUAUAUAUAUGUAUAUACAUAUACACACACGCACGCACAUGCUCGUAUACACUUUGAUGUAUGUACAUCUGAGUAUAUGUGUAAGAUUCGUUUUGGUGUAAUCCACUGCCCCUCAUAAUUAAAGCAGUUAAACUCAAGGUGGGCCUUGAUGCAUGACUAGCGACAUCCUGUUAUAAGUCAAUUGAAAUUUGGUUUACAUUACUUGAUUAACUACGUAAUAUGCAUUGAAUGAGAAAUUUCACAUAUUCUGUAAUAUCGCUCAUUAUGUAUUUCCCUAAGAGGCUCGAGGAAAUAUGUAAAUGAAGUAGUUCACAGCAACCUAAUGGGUUUAAUAAACACAAGCAGAAGAGAAACAAGAUUGAGUCAUACGUGCAGUGAGACAUUAACGAAUCUAUAGUCGCUUGACGGGCAAGAAAUGACAUUCAAGAUUCUCUCAUAUUUACUCAUUAUCGUCUUAAAGAUGUAUAAUAUCCACUGUGAAGUCCCUGAAAUGCAAAAAGGAUACGAGGGCCACCACUAUACCCCGUUAGUUGCAUAUUCUAGAGGCUUGCUGACUUGAACUACACAACAACAAUAAAAGUCUUCAGUAAAUCUAUGAAUAAUGAUAAUAUCAACUCAUAUUUAACCCUGUUUUCAAUAAAGCAUUUACUUCUGUCAAACGUCGGACAAAAUGAGCGGCAUUUCUUCCAGAUCUUUACGUAAUAAGUUCAAUUCCCACCGAGGACAACUUUGUCUGUCUUCCUUACGGGACCGAUAAAAUAAAACACCAGUCAAGUAGUGAGGUGGAUAAUGUUGACUGUCCCACCACAAACAAGCACACACACACACACAAAUACAUACACACACACACACGCACGCACUGGCUUUGUGCUAAAAUUAGAAAGAAUUUAUUUCUAAUCACUUUUUGAAAGAUCAUUUUUACGUCCGCUUUCCAUGCUGGUAUGGGUUGGACGAAUCAUCACCUUCAGAGUCAAUCCUUAUUCUUUGUAAUUUUCAAAUGACUUAAUAUAUGUAUACCCGAAAGGAAAGGAGAAUAUAUAUUAAGGCUUGUAUACACACACACACUCUCUCUCUAUCUCUCUUUCUGUCUUACACACACAUAUAGCGUGUGUGUGUGUGUGUGUUUGCUUCAGUGUGCACACGUACAUAGGGUGAGUGAAAAACUAAUUAACUCAUAAAUUAAAUUUGUGACCAAACAGAAUCGGAUUAUCCAUGAGAAUAUAACUGAACGAUAGCUUCUCUUUUUCAUUAAAAGUAUGUUGCCAAGAGGUUACAAAGUUGGACAGAUCAAGUGUUUGUAUCUUAUAUUAAGUAAAGGCCUAGAUUAAAACAUAUAACCAAGACAACAAAUUUUAUCUAGCAAAAAUGCAUUUCGCCAGGGAUAUUAACAAGCCAAUUGAAGCUGAAGACAUUCAAUCGGAAAUCAAAACAAAAUUGCAGAUUUUAUUCAGAGACACUCAUCUCUCUCUCUCCACACGCACGCACGCACGCACACACACACACACACACACACACACACACACACACACACACACACACACACACACACACACACACACACACACACACACACACACAUAUAGAUAGAUAGAUAGAUAGAUAGAUAGAUAGAUAGAUAGAUAGAUAGAUAGAUAGAUAGAUAGAUAGAUAGAUAGACACACACAUAUAUACAUUGUCUGUGUGUGUGUUCUUGAUUUGGCAGUUCUGCACAGGAGCACUAACUCUGAAGUGUUGACAAGUGGGACUGUCCGAGAUGCGUGCAAAGUGACAAACCCACCCUGUAUGCACUCGGUGCACUGUCCGAGCAUUGCAGAUUGUGGAGUUAUGAAUAGCUGUUGUUACGUGUAGGGCGAAUCCGGCUGUCCUCGUCUCUGUUGCGAAGCUCGACUCCUAACCCACCUUUAUCGAGGCGGGACAAAUGAUGGUCCUCUAUUUAGUGGCAAUAGCAAAAGAGGUCGUGUGUGGACGAGGUGUUGAAAGCAUUGAGGGCAGGCACUUUCCUCUCUGGUCAAACUUCAUCGACUUUUUCAAGUUCCACUUCCAAAGAAAAGUGAGGAUGGAGAGGGAAGCGCUCGCCUGCAGCGAAUUUGUUAAAACGUGUCUCGUAAAAAUAGUUCGGGUGAAUGGACCUACCCUGAGCAUAUACCUGUGGAAUGAAGAACAUCAGUCAUGCAAGGGCUUGUGCUCUUGGUGGUCAGGGUGAUCCUGGAUCUGUCCGGUUCCUUUGUUGGCUCUAACUAGAGGUUCCCCUGUGUCAGGAGGAUUGCCUCAUAGAUGUGUUUACGCAUUUUGUAAACAAUGUAUACGUUUUAUCCAGUCUUUUCCCACUUCCUCUCCUUCUCUCUUACUUGUUUCAGUCAUUUGACUGUGGCCAUGCUGGAGCACCGCCUUUAGUCGACCCCAAGACUUGUUCUUUGUAAGCCUAGUACUUAUUCUAUCGGUCUCCUUUGCUGAACCGCUAAGCUACGAGGACGUAAACACACCAUCGGUUGUCGAGACCCCAAGCCUUAUUCUUUGUAAGCUUAGUACUUAUUCUAUCGGUGUCUUUUGCCGAACCGCUAAGUUGCGGGGACGUAACUUAGCAUGUUGUCAAGCGAUGUUGGGCGGACAAACACAAACACACAAACAUAUACACGCACAUACAUAUAUAUAUAUAUAUACGACGGGCUUCAUUCAGUUUCCGUCUACCAAAUCCACUCACAAGGCUUUGGUCGGCCCAAGGCUAUAGUAGAGGACACUUGCCCAAGGUGCCACGCACUGGAACUGAACGCAGAACCAUGUGGUCCGUAAGCAAGCUACUUACCACACAGCCACUCCUACACCUUCACUCAUGUUUUAUGUAAACCACAACACUAACUGUAAACUAGUCUUGUAAUAUCGCCCUCACCUGAUGCCCCCCCGUAGCAAAUAAAUCAUCAUCAUCUUCAUCAUUAUCAUUUAUAUACUCAAUAAGCACCCCAUAAUAAAAAGAAGAGAUCAGGCCUUGUGUUUAUAGUAGAGAGAAUUAUUAUUCACAAGAAUUCUUUUAAGGUGCAGCAUUCUGUCUCUCUUCGUAUUCUGAGUUCUAAUUCUACCGAGGUUGAUUUUACCUUUCAUCCCUUUUUUUUGUGGAGCGUGGGGGGUGGUGGGGGUGGUGAUAAAUUAAGUACCAGUGAAAUACUGGGGUCGAGGUAACUGACUAGCCACGUCCUCCAAAUUUCAGUUCUUGUGCCUAUAAUAUAAAGGAUUAUAAUAAUAAUAAUAAUUAUUAUUAUUAUUAUUAUUAUUAUUAUUAUUAUUAUUAUUAUUAUUAUCAUUGAGUGAGAGAGCAGUGCAUGCCAUCAAAGUGACACUAGGGUAAAGUAUAUAUUUCUUUAUUGCCCAUAAGGGGCCAAACACAGAGAGGACAAACAAGGACAGACAAAAGGGAUUAAGUCGAUUACAUCGACCCCAGUGCGAAACUGGUACUUUUAUUUAUCGACCCCGAAAGGAUGAAAGGCAAAGUCGAUCUCGGCAGAAUUUGAACUCAGAACAUAACGACAGACGAAAUACCGCUAAGCAUUCCGCCCGGCGCUCUAACGUGUCUCAGUAUACUCAUCAUGACUACCUGUCUGAUAAGGGUACACCAGGUACAUGCGUCACAACCAUAUGUACACGACAUCGUGAUAUCAAGAUAAACAGCGCAUGACCUUGCAGGUGGGGCCCAGUUAGAAUCUUCUUCUUCUUCUUCUUCUUCUUCUUCUUCGUAGUAGUAGUAGUAGUAGUAGUAGUAGUAGUAGUAAGGCAGGAUUGGUAGAAUUAUCAGAGUAUCAGACGAUAAUGCUUUAUGGUGCCUGUUCCAGCUCUUUACAUUCUGAGUUCACAUCCAUGCCAAAGUUAACUUUGCAUUUCAUCCCUCUGGGCUCAAUAAAACAAAAUACCAGUCUGGUAUUGGAGUUGAUGGCAUUGAAUAAACACCCUCCCUUCAAAAUCGCUGGCUUUGUGUCUAAAAUCAGAAACCAUGAUUAUCAUUCUUAAUGUUUCCCCUAUUUAACCACAAAAGCUGAUAAAAGAUCGACAACAGAACCAGACAGCAUUUUGCAAAAUUACAUAAAGUUCAUAUAAAGGAAGAGAAAAAUGGUAAACACAAAGGAAAAAGUCCCCAAAUGCAUGGAGAUCACCAAGGCCCACUCAAGGAAACACCACCACAAAACAACAAUAAUCUGAUCACCAACACAAGUGCCCUCUCCCAGUUGACCUCCAGUCAACAGGUACACACUCAGAGCAGGCCUGUUUGCUCUGGCCAUGCUCACUACUCUCAUUCAGCUGUCAUCAAAUUUGCUGAGAAGCAGUACUUCUGUCUUUGCCCUUAUUUUCCUUUUUCAAAUGAAACUUGAAAAUAUAGAGGAAGGCAUAGACAAAGAUGAUGUUGGUCUAUCACUCUUUCCAAUCUCAUCCAUUGUGCAACUUCUUUUACGUAACCCGCCAGGCAGAUACCCUCAGGCCGACCAAAACCUUGUGAGUGGAUAUGGUAGACGGAAAUUGAAAGAAGCCUGUCAUAUAUAUAUAUAUAGAUAUAUGUGUUAAUAUAUAGAUAUAUAGAUAUAUAUGAUAAUAAUAAUAAUAAUAAAUAUGCAUUACACAGCAUGUAUUAGAAACAUAAGAUAAUUUACAGUAAAUAAGUGUGUGUGUGUGUAUAUGUAUGCAUGUAUAUAUAUGUAUAUAUAUAUAUAUGUAUAUAUAUGUAUAUAUAUAUAUAUAUAUACAUAAGUAUAUAUAUAUAUAUGUGUGUGUGCGUGUGUGUAUAUAUGUACAUAUAUAUAUACAUAUAUAUAUAUAUGUACAUAUAUAUGUAUAUAUAUAUAUAUGUGCAUAUAUGUAUAUAUAUAUAUAUGUGCAUAUAUGUAUAUAUAUAUAUGCAUAUAUGUAUCUAUAUAUGUAUCUCUCUCUCUCCAUAUAUAUAUAUAUAUAUAGAUGUAUAUAUAAUAAUAUUAGGGAGUAUAACUCCAAACUUACAGGGAAAAGUUGCAUAAUAGUGGUUUUAUCUGUAAUUUAUAUUUAUAUAUGUAUAGAUAUAUAUGUAUGUGUGUGUAUAUGUGUGUGUGUAUAUAUAUGUGUGUAUAUAUGUGUGUAUGUGUGUGUAUAUAUAUAUGUAUAUAUAUAUAUAUAUAUAUAUAUAUAUAUAUAUAUACAUAUGUGUAUAUAUAUGUAUAUAUAUAUAUAUACUAUAUAUAUAUAUAUAUAUAUAUAUAUAUAUAUAUAUAUAUGAAAUAUAUAUAUAUAUAUAUAUAUAUAUAUUAGCUGAGAUGUUAAACGUUUUUGAUUUUCAUUCCUUUCAUGAAUUUAUCCCUUUUCUGUGUCUAGCACAACGCUUCCUUAUUUGGAAGCCUUUUAAUGUAUUUCUAUAUGAAUAAUAUAUAGUCUAAUGACCAAUUCGUCUUUUGUGCUGGGUCACUGGUAAUAAUAAUUUAUUUUUCAUCACCCAAUUUACUAUGUUUAUAUAUAUAGGCGCAGGAGUGGCUGUGUGGUAAGUAGCUUGCUUACCAACCUCGUGGUUCCAGGUUCAGUCCCACUGCAUGGCACCUUGGGCAAGUGUCUUCCACUAUAGCUUCGGGCCGACCAAAGCCUUGUGAGUGGAUUUGGUAGACGGAAACUGAAAGAAGCCCGUCGUAUAUAUAUAUAUAUAUAUAUAUAUAUAUAUGCAUGUGUGUGUUUGUGUGUCUGUGUUUGCCCCCUAGCAUUGCUUGACAACCGAUGCUGGUGUGUUUAUGUCUCCGUCACUUAGUGGUUCGGCAAAAGAGACCGAUAGAAUAAAUACUGGGCUUACAAAGAAUAAGUCCCGGGGUCGAGUUGCUCUACUAAAGGCGGUGCUCCAGCAUGGCCGCAAUCAAAUGACUGAAACAAGUAAAAGAGUAAAAGAGUAUAUAUAUAAAAUUAUCAACCAUCGCACAAACAAUAACUCUGAGCACCUCUUCAAACUCCACCCAUCUAACACCCGUGGACAUAUUUACAAAGUCAGAAAACAGCACAGCUCCCAUGACUUCAGGAAACAUUUUUUCACGCUGAGAGUUGCUGAAGCAUGGAACAAACUGCCGGCAUCGGUUGUUAGUUGUCGGAGCACUGAAUCCUUCAAAACUUCCAUGCUUCCUGAGAUUUGCCAACACUAUACCUGAUUUUCUCCCAUCCAUACACACACAAGCAUGUAUCUGACUCAUACACUGUUCACUUCCCAGACAUUUGUACAUUACUGCAUGUACUUUAUAUGCACUUUCUGACAAGUUGUGGUGCACCUGAACACCGUAUACAAUAAUUUCAUUAUUAUAAGCAACAGAGUGACUCAAAUGCUGAUAGUUUCAUAUGUGGGCAAUUAUCAAACUAUACCCGUAUCUUAAGGUCUGUUUUUCCUGUUUGCAUCACCAUAUAUAUAUAUAUAUGUUAUGAAAUGAAAUAAAUGACAAGUGAACAGGAAAUUUGUAAUGAACUUCAUUUCCUUGCUGCUGUUUCUGCUAUAAACUACAGUAGACUCAGAGCUGAGUGUGUGUGGGUCACCUUAUAGUUUCCUUGGAGCUUUGAUUAUGAAAUAUAAGUUUACCUUGGAAAACACACACAUACACACACACAAACACACACACACACACAUAUACACAUAUAUAUAUAAUAAAUAUAUAAAUAAAUAUAUAUAUACAUAUAUAUGCAUAUAUAUAUAUAUAUGUAGUAUAGUCCUCCUCGGUAGUAUAGUGGUUAGUAUGCCUGGCUGUCACGUGGGAGACCGGGACUCAAUUCCCCGCUGAGCAGGCAUAUUAUUUUAAAUGGUGGUGCCCCAGCAUGGCCACAGUUCAUGAGCUGAAACUAGAUGAAAUAUAUAUAUAAUAAAUAAAUAAAUAUAUAAAUGCAUAUAUAUAAUAAAUAAAUAAAUAAUUAAAUAUGUAUAUAUAUAUAUAUAUAUAUAUAUAUACACACACACACCAAGAGAGAGAAAGAGGUUGAGAUAUCUGAAUACACCUUUCUGUUAUCCAACUGUAGGGUUCAAAUAUCUGGUGAAAGGCCAGUAGAAGAAUAUUUAUCAUGUCCUGAAGUAAAGAGAUUUUUGAUGCCAUGGCACCCUACUACAAUGAGGCCCAGGUGACCGUUGGUUUUAAGAAUAGGAUUAGUCAAACAUUAAAAUCUAACCCCAUAAAAGUAAAAAUACCACUGGAAAGUCUUGUGGCUCACAGACCCCUCCUUCCGUAAUCUAAAAUCUUAGGUAGGUAAAGUUAGUUUUACUUUGAUAGACAAACACUUUCCCCAUUUGAGGAGUGGCUGUGUGGUAAGUAGCUUGUUUGCAAACCACAUGGUUCCGGGUACCGGGUUCAGUUCCACUGUGUGGCACCUUGGGCAAGUGUCUUCUACUAUACCCUCAGGCCGACCAAAACCUUGUGAGUGGAUAUGGUAGACAGAAAUUGAAAGAAGCCUGUCGUAUAUAUAUAUAUAUAUAUAUAUAUAUAGAUAGAUAUAGAUAUAUGUGUGUGUGUCUGUGUUUGUCCCCCCAACAUUGCUUGACAACCGAUGCUGGUGUGUUCACGUCCCCAUAACUUAGUGGUUCGACAAAAGAGACUGAUAAAAUAAGUACUAGGCUUACAAAGAAUAAGUUCUGGGGUCGAUUUGCUUGAUUAAAAGGUGAUGCUCCAGCAUGACCACAGUCAAAUGACCGAAGCAAGUAAAAGAGUAAAAGAGAUACAGUUUAAGAGUUUCUUUUAGCUGUAUACCUAAUAUACAGAAAAUAUCAGCUGGUAGCUCCACAGCUGAGACAAAGGUAGGGUCCUCAUGCAAGGACAAUUACACAUAUCCUGUUAAUGACCAAUGAAACACAGAGACCAUCAUAUAUGAGGCAUAGGACACAGCAAACGGACAAACUUGCAGAUGUCUGUGGGCACAACAGAAGGUCAAAUCUAAUAACCAUAAAUUCACCCUUUUAAUCCAAGAGAGACAGCCUCACUAGGUAUGUAUGUUCAUUGAAAGAAAGUGUCAUUGAUGACACCCAGGUGUUUUUGGGCAAGGAACAUAACUCUUGGUGGGUACCCCUCUGAUCAUCUCCCACGGGUUUGUUUUGUCUUUUUCACACUACUCACAUUCUGAAUAUGACACUUGCUGACAGAAAGCCAUUGCAACGUUUCCUCAUACUGGCCAGUCUGAUGAGCAUAAUUACCUAAUUUCUGUGUGAAACUGAUUGGUAAGUUUGGUUGAAAUCAUCAUCAUCAUCAUCAUCAUCGUUUAACGUCCGCUUUCCAUGCUAGCAUGGGUUGGACGAAUGACUGAGGGCUGGCGAACCAGAUGGCUGCACCAGGCUUCAAUCUUGAUCUGGCAGGGUUUCUACAGCUGGAUGCCCUUCCUAACGCCAACCACUCCAAGAGUGAAAUGCAUAUACUAUAUAGCUUAAUGUGUGUGUGUGUGUGUGUGUGUGUGUGUGUGUGUGUGUGUGUGUGCGUGUGUGUGUGUGUGUGUGUGUGCACAUAUACACAUACAUGCAGCUUGGUUCCAAAACAGUUGUUAUACUCUAGAAAGAACAUGCAGAUUUAACAACUAAAAGGUUAUUAUUUUAAAUUAACUGUACUUUACUAGCUUUGAAGUACCUGAAAACCAUGCUUUUUUUAUUUAGGUGUAUCGUUUAUAUAUAAUAAUAAUAAUGAAAUUAUUGUAUACAGUGCUCAGGUGCACCACAACUUGUCAGAAAGUGUAUAUAAAGUACAUGCAGUAAUGUAAAAAUGUCUGGAAAGCGAACAAUGUAUGAGUCAGAUACAUGCUUGUGUGUGUAUGGAGGGGAGAAAAUCAGGUGUAGUGUUAACAUACAGAAUAAAUGUUCUGGUGAAGCAGAAUUAGGGUUUGCAAGAAAUAUUACAUUACACCCUUAGCAAUCAGUUUGCUCUCUCAAAUGUGAUGCUUAUUUAUUCACAUUGUUUUGAAUUAGUCAUAUAUUAAUCUUGUUGCUUUGAGAUUUCAAUAAUGUGAUUAUUUUUAGAAUGACAUUGUAGGAUAGGUGUGAGAGGCUGGAUCUGGCUGGUUUGAACAAAUAUUUGCACUGAAUAUGGUCAGUUUAAAUGCUAAAGGGUUAAACAGCAUACAGCAUGUGAAUUACUAAAUUCUACAUAAAAAGAUAGUUUCAGUUUUGCUUUUAAACAGUUUGGGUGUUAUCACACUUGAAGAAAAUAUAAGGAGUGACAUUUUGUUCUAGGUUUUUCAAUUUGUAACUUAUCUUGCUUUUUAAUUGCUACCCCUGAUUUUAAGAGACCCACCAAUCAUUGACUUCCGUGUACUGAAAAAAAGGAAAAAUUUUCCCAAUCAUAAAUCAAUUUAUAAAGAAUCUAAAAAAGGGAAAAUGUUCAGUCUACAAUCUUAGAUGAUUUCUUAAACAGCUUUCAAAUUUCUAUCAUUCUUCUUUUAAGCCACUCUUUCAAAGAGACAAUAUUGCUCAUGUAUGAAGGCAGCGAGCUGUCAGAAAUGUUAGCAUACCGGGUGAAAUGCUUGGCGGUAUUUCAUCUAUCUUUACUUUCUGAAUUCAAAUUCCGCCGAGGUUAACUUUGCCUUUCAUCCUUUUGAAGUCGAUAAAUUAAGUAUCAAUUGCGUAUUGGGGUUGAUCUAAUUGACUGGCCCCCUCCCUCAAAAUUUCGGGCCUUGUGCCUAGAGUAGUAAUUAAUAUUGCUCAUGUAUUGAUUGCUCCUUCUAUACUCUGCAUUAUACUGUUGACUCGUCUUAAAUGCUCCAAACCAAUUAUGCCACCCAUUUAGUCUUAUAAUCAACGGUUUGUUUGGGAUUUUUUUUAUUGCUUAGUCAGUGGAGAGGGUGUAAAGAGUAGUGUCCAUGAUCCUUUACAGGGCCUCCAAGACUGAUGGGAUAGGGGGAGGUACCCACACCAGAGACCAGGACCAAAUAUACUUGUAACAACAUCAUCAUCAUCAUUUAACGUCCGCUUUCCAUGCUAGCAUGGGUUGGACGGUUCAACUGGGGUCUGGGGAGCCCGAAAGCUGCACCAGUCCAGUCAGAUCUGGCAGUGUUUCUACAGCUGGAUGCCCUUCCUAACGCCAACCACUCCGAGAGUGUAGUGGGUGAUUUUAUGUGCCACCGACACAGGUGCCAGACGAGGCUGGCAAACGGCCACGCUCGGAUGGUGUUUUUUAUGUGCCACCGACACAGGUGCCAGACGAGGCUGGCAGACGGCCACGCUCGGAUGGUGUUUUUAUGUGCCACCGACACAGGUGCCAGACGAGGCUGGCAGACGGCCAUGCUCGGAUGGUGUUUUUAUGUGCCACCGACACAGGUGCCAGAUGAGGCUGGCAAACGGCCACGAUCAGAUGGUGCUUGUUACGUGCCCACAGCACGGAGGCCAGUCGAUGCGGUACUGGCUACGGCCACGUUCGGAUGGUUUUCUUGUGUGCCACGUGCCACCGGCACUGGUACCACAAAGAUACAAAUUCCAUUGAUGUUCAUCUAUUUUGAUUUGUUUUGAUUUUCACUUGCCUCAACAGGUCUUCACAAGUGUCACAAGAAGGAAGGUAUGCACAGGUGGACUGACUACGUCCCAGGUAGGGGCCAUGGGUUAUGGCCUGACUAGUCUUGCCGGGUCUUCGGAUGGUGUUUUUAUGUGCCACCGACACAGGUGCUAGAUGAGGCUGGCGAACGGCCACGAUCGGAUGGUGUUUGUCAUGUGCCCACCGCACUGACUACAGCACUGAUGGAUUUCUUGUGUGCCACAGGCACUGGUACCACAAGAUACAAAUUCCAUUGAUGUUCAUCUAUUUUGUCUAUUUUGAUUUGAUUUGAUUUGAGGGCCCUGGCAGUGGUAUUUGCAGGAAGCAUUUGGAGAUAAUGAAGACUUUUUGUUUCUUUUAUUAAUAUGGUGACAGGGGAUGGAAUGUGGGCAUGUGUUAUGAUCCGAAAACAAAGACUCUUCUCCAAGACCUAAGGUGUUCAAGAACCAGCAAUUGGCACUUGCAACAGCAUGAACUGUGCUAAAUAUACUCAUGGCCUGGCAGUGGCAUUAGCUGGAAACAUUUUUUUUUCUUUCUUUAAUUUGGUAGUAAGGGAUGGAAUGUGAUCUAAAAACAAGGAAAACUCUUCUCCAAGAUCUAAGAAGUUCAAGGACCAACAACUGGUGCAGAAAGUCACAGUGAUUAUUUUUCUUUUUCUUCUUUUUUUUUUACAAUGUGGGGUGGAUAACAAGGGUGUCAUUCUCCUUGAUUUUCUGGAACAUGGCUAUACCAUGAACAGCAAGCUGUAUACUGAGACACUCAAAAAGCCCGUGAAAGAAAGAAAUUGAACAAUAAUCUGAAAACAAUCCAAAUUCGCAACAAUGCUUGACCACACAUAUCUUAGGCAAAAAAUUUGGCAGUUGGCAAAUUAGAGUGGUCACUGGCCCCCUAUCCACCAUACAGCUUGGAUCUGGUGCCCUCCAGCUUCUGUCUGUUCAGUCCAAUGUCUUCAGAGUCAAUGAUUUGAUAAUGCAGAUGAGGUGAAAGUGACUGUGAAGAAAGGGGGACAACAGUGCACAUUUGAAUAUUUUCAAAGAGAAUUUGAGAAUUGGGUUCAAUGACUGCUUGUAAUGGAAACAAUGGAAAGUAGUAAAUAUGUAUAGAAGAAGAGUUACUCUACCAACAUGCACACUUUGAAUGACCGACGUCGGUAGUGGAGGCACAUGGCCUAGUGGUUAGAGCAGCAGACUCGCGGUCGAGGGAUCACUGGUUCGAAUCUCAGACCAGGUGAUAUGUGUGUUUAUGAGCGAAACACCUAAGCUCCAUGCGGCUCCAGCAGAAGGUAAUGGUGAACUUCUGCUGACUCUUUCGCCACAACUUUCUCUCACUCUUUCCCCCUGCAUUUUGCAGCUCACCUGCAACGUAUACGCCAAGAAACCGGGAAACCGGCCCUUAUGAGCCAGGCAUGGCUCGAGAAGGAACUAACAACAACAGCCAAUGUCAGUUAAUAAAGAAGUUAUGCCCACUUUUGCAUUGUCUUAGAUACAAUCCUUCUUUUAUAUCAAUGUAUGUUUGCAUGCAUGUAAGUGUAAUGUAUAUAAUGUAAACAUGUAUGUACACAUAUAUUUUAUUUAUAGCACAUUAUAAAUUUGCCUCAUAACAGUCAAUGUAUCUUACUGAAUGAUUUCCUGUUGAGGGUCCUUCCAAGUUUGGAAAUGGAAAUUAACAAAUGCUGGACAUGGCUGAAUGGAAGACUACUUUAUUGGACAACUAAAUGCGUAUGUGUGUGUGUGUGUGUGUGUGUGUGUGUGUGUGUGUGUGUGUGUAUGUGUGUGUGUAUGUGUGUGUGUAUGUGUGUGUGUGUGUGUAUGUGUGUGUGUAUUUGUGUGUGUGUAUGUGUGUAUGUGUGUGUAUGUGUGUGUGUGUGUAUGUGUGUGUGUGUGUGUGUGUGUGUGUGUGUGUGUGUGUGUGUGUGUGUGUGUGCGUGUGCGCGUGUAUAUGCCUGUGCCAGUAUGUAUGUUUUGUCAUGUAUAUGAAGAGAUGGCUGUGAAAUGUUUCAAAUAUUUUAUUGAUUAGUAGGAACUAAUUUUAAACUUUGAGAAAUACUUUAAUUUAAUUUAACUAAUUUUUAGUUUCAAAAGUUCAGCUGAUGACAUUUUUGACUCUUCGUUACGAUACAACAUAAUAUACAGUCACUUAUUUAAAGUAUAUGGAAUUAUAUUUGAAUACAAUAGUAUAUAGUAAACAGUGUAGAAAACUAUUUGAAAUUAUUGACUUCUGGAACUUCAAAAUAUUUCCGAAUCAAUAUUCACAUCUAAAUAACCUGUUACUUUAGAUGCCCCCCCCCCUCCAACACUUUGUGAAUACUUAUCCAACUUUAAUAACAGUAUGUGUACUUUAGAUUAUUAAAUGUACAUAAUCAGCCUAAAUUUUGUUAUUGAGCAUCAAUCUUCCAACAUUGAUACAUUUUCAUUUGCCUACGUCCAGCCACACCCCUGGCAGCUUCUGUUCUAACAUGUGAGGUGACAUUGAUUAACUCAGAAUGUGUUUAAUGAAAGCAAUAGUUUUACAGCCAAAUAGCCUUCUUAGUGCCAACCACUCUAACAUAAAGUGGAAACUAGAUGGUUUUCAUUUGAAAUGUCCAUCUUCCUAGAUGUGCUGCAGUUACAUGGAUUAAAAAGCCAUAUCUCUUUCUUUGCUGAUACUAUACAAUAUGAUAUACAUUUAUUGAGCUGCCUCUUAUAUUACUUCCACAGUAUUUCAAAGCCUCAUAUUUCUUUUAUUUCAUGCUGCAGUGCCCAGUGAUUUUAAGUUGCCUACUCUCCUAAGGUUAGUGAUCUUUUUAUUAAGCCUCAAUAGGUGACUUAAUACACUUUUACAGAAUUAAGGAAUUAAAAGUGAAACAUGCUGUAGAGAAAAACUGACAUUGCCAGUUAAUGUUCAGCAUGGCAGCUUUAGUCAAUGCUUGAGCAGAAUAAUGUUGAAAGGGAUCAGAAAUAGAGAUGAUAAAUACAGGAUGAUAAACACAAUAGAGAAAAACACAGUAGAUCAGGCUAUAAAUGUGUUAGAACUUCUCAUGCAUAAAUUUACUGAACUGUAAGUUGGAGAAGGGAAACGAAAGGAGAAGAAAGAAGACAAACUGUGGCUAAAGUGCUCUGCCAAGCCAGAGUGUGUGCUAAGUAAAAAGGAGUAAAAAAAUAUAUAAAAAGAACCAACAAAAGAAGAAUUUAGGAAGAGAUAGAAUGAGGCUUUCAAUUAGCCAUGAAAGUAAAACAGUUUACAAUGCAUUUUAUACUCUGAACUCCAUAAGUGGGGUAGUGGUGGGCAUAUUUUUGUGCAGUCUGUUGUCCUGGACUUUGCAAUUAAUCUUACUAGCAGUCAAAUACAAAGACUGGCAAGAAAAUAGCAGUUCUGCAAAAAUCUCUGGCAUUUGAAUUACAGCCACUGUUUUAAGUAGUUUGCAUUUAAGUGACAACUUUGAAAGAACAAACCAAUGUGAGCAGACAAAAGAAGCAAGAGAAUAUGAAGCUGGAAAUAAAUUCUAUGUAAAAUUAUUUCCUCUUUUCUUUGUUUUACCCUUGACAUUUUUGUAUGCAUUCAUAAAAUUAUAUUUAACAACAUCAUAAGAUUUCUACUAUUAACUGCUAUGCAAAAAGGUGGAACCGGUACCCAUUUCCAAAUCAGACACAAGUAAUACACAGUGUAAUAUCUAAGUAUUAAACUAGAAUUAAAAUCUUAAUUACUGAGAUCCAUAUUCUCAAACACACAUAAUUUAGAUAGCUAACAAAAAUAUAUAAAUACUUGGUUACAUAAGAAACAAUAAUAAUUCCUUCUUGAGAAGCGAAAAGGCUAUUUUCUUCAAAAGUAGGGUAUAUAAUGGUUUAACUGAUCUUUAGAUAUGUCUUUACACUUAAUCCACUAGUUUCAGUUAAACAAAAAAGGUUUGAAAUAAAACAACAGAAUGCCUGAUUUAAUAAAUCUACAUCUGUAUACAUAAUCAAAGAGAAGAAAAAAAUUACAAGGUUUGUGUACAGAUAAAUGAUGGAUGUAUUAUGCAGAGAGGAUUGUAAGGAAUUGCAGUGAUGGGUUUGUUGCAGCUUAAAAUAACAGUUUAUACUUUCAUGGGAAACAGACUUAAAACUUAUGAGAAUGAGGAGGAUUAUACCCCCACCUCAUACACAAAUGGAUAUAUUUAUACAUGCCCCAUCACACACACACUCAGUCAUAAACAUGCACACACACACACACACACACACACUCAGUCACAAACAUGCACAUACACUGACAUAUCAAUAUUUACUUUGAAAUGGUUUUGUAUGUAUGUAUGUGUGUGUGUUUUUGUAUCUAUGUUAAUACAUAUAUAUAUAUAUAUAUAUAUAUAUAUAUAUAUAUAUAUAUAUAUAUAUAUAUAUAUAUAUAUAUAUAUAUAUAUAUAUAUAUAUAUAUAUAUAAAUUGCAAACAUGAAAAGAUAUAUAUAUAUAUAUAUAUAUAUAUAUAUAUAUAUAUAUAUAUAUAUAUAUAUAUAUAUAUAUAUAUAUAUAUAUAUAUAUAUAUAUAUAUAUAUAUAUAUAAUAUAUACAAGUUGGUAAAUGGUGGGGUUGUGUGUGUAUAUAUAUAUAUACAAGGUUUGGCAAAAGGAAUAAAUAUAUUAAGUACCAGGCUUUGCAAAAUAUAUUAAGUACUGGGAACGAUUUGUUUGAUUAAAACCCUUCAAGGUGUUGCCCCAGGAUGGCCAGAAUCUAAUGACUGAAACAAGUAAUGAAAUGUAUUAAUGCAGCCAAAUAUAGAAGACAUCACCUAUAUGUGUGUGUGUGUCUGGAUUUCAUUCAAAUAAUGGCACCUUGGGCCUUAAGUAUCAUGUAUCAUAGCCUCAGGUUGAUUAAUACCUUGUAAACAGAAUUUGGUGGGCAGAAUCUCUACUAGAACCUAUUCUUGGGUUGUUUGUUUGAAUUUUUGUAUGGAUGGGUGGAAGUACAAACACACUACCAUAUCCAUGGUCCAAUGAUUAAAAAACAGUGGAAUAAAUGUAAGAAAAAUAACAAAAGAAAAUAAAUAAAAGAAAAAUACUAAACUGUAUACACAACCAAAUUUUCUUUUAUUGAAAUUGCCAAUAUGUUCCUAACAAAAGGCGACAAGUUGGCAGAAACAUUAGCAUGCCGGGUGAAAUGCUUAGCGGUAUUUCGUCUGUCUUUACAUUCUGAGUUCAAAUUCCACCAAGGUCGACUUUGCCUUUCAUCCUUUCGGGGUUGAUAAAUUAAGUACCAGUUAUGCACUGGGGUUGAUGAAGUCGACUUAAUCUGUUUGCCUGUCUUUGUUUGUCCCCUCUGUGUUUAGCCCCUUGUGGGUAGUAAAGAAAUAGGUAUUUCGUCUGAUUUACAUUCUGAGUUCAAAUUCUGCCAAGGUCGACUUUGCCUUUCAUUCUUUCGGGGUUGAUAAAUUAAGUACCAGUCACACACUGCAGUCAAUCUAAUUGACUGACCCCACCUCCUCCAAAAUUUCAGGCCUUGUGCCUAGAGUAGAGAAGAAUAUGUUCUAAACAAGUAGAUUACUGCACUUCAGAUAAAAGCAUGGCUUGCAUCCAUUUAGUAUACUCUUUUACUCUUUUACUUGUUUUAGUCAGUUGACUGUGGCCAUGCUGGAGCAACGCCUUUAGUCGAGCAACUCGACCCCGGGACUUUUUCUUUGUAAGCCCAAUACUUAUUCUAUCGGUCUCUUUUGCCGAACCGCUAAGUAACGGGGACAUAAACACAUCGGUUGUCAAGCAAUGCUAGGGGGACAAACACAGGCAUACAAACAUACACGCAAACAUAUAUAUAUAUAUAUAUAUAUAUAUAUAUAUAUAUAUACGACGGGCUUAUUUUUAGUUUCCGUCUACCAAAUCCACUCACAAGGCAUUGGUCGGCCCGAGGCUAUAGUAGAAGACACUUGCCCAAGGUGCCACGCAGUGGGACUGAACCCGGAACCGUGUGGUUGGUUAGCAAGCUACUUACCACACAGCCACUCAUUUUUCUCACUAUUUAUACUGUUUUCUUCAAAAUUUUUCCUACUUUCCCUUUCACCACCCCACAUGCCUCCUUCCUCUCACCUACAGUAUAAUCACACCUACACAGCAUUUUCCCACACUCCCAUCAUCCCAUAUCACUACACUCCCACAUUUUCACGCUUCUACAUGCUUACACUCUCCCAAGAAACACGCAUACAUACACGCUUCCCCCUCUACCCAUCUCUAUACUUAGAUGCCCUCUCCUAUACAUGUACACACCACCCCACCACAUCCUUUCUUUCUAACCCCUCAUCAAGGAACUGUAUUACAACCUGAAACCAUGACUUUUUCUUUCCUUCCAAGACCCUUUUCUCCUCUAUUUUUUACCUCAUUCUGAUGAAAAGGCAAGACUCUUCCCCUUCCUCUUAAAACCUGUCCUUGUCAUUUUGUCUUCCUUUUUUGCUCAUUUCUUUAUAUAUAUAUAUAUUCUUUUACUCCUAUACUUGUUUCAGUCAUUUGACUGUGGCCAUGCUGGAACACCGCCUUUAGUCGAGCAAAUCGACCCCAGGACUUAUUCUUUGUAAGCCUAGUACUUAUUCUAUCGGUCCCUUUUGCCGAACCGCUAAGUUAUGGGGAUGUACAUACACCAGCAUCAGUUGUCAAGCAAUGUUGGAGGAGGGGGACGACAAACACAGAUACACAAACAUAUACACACACACAUACAUAUAUGUAUGUACAUAUAUACGACGGGCUUCUUUCAGUUUCUGUCUACCAAAUCCACUCACAAGGCUUUGGUUGGCCCGAGGCUAUAGUAGAAGACACUUGCCCAAGUUGCUACUCAGUGGGACUGAACCCGGAACCAUGUGGUUGGUAAGCAAGCUACUUACCACACAGCAACUCAUAUAUAUAUAUAUAUAUAUAUAUAUAUAUAUAUAUAUAUAUACAUACACAGGCAUGACUGUGUAGUAAGAAGUUUACUUCCAAACCUCAUGGUUCCCAGUUCAGUCCCACUAUGAGGCACCUGAGCAAGUGUCGUCUACUACAGCUCCAGGCUGACCCAGGCCUUAUUUAUGGAUUUGGUAGGCAGAAACUGAAAGAAACCUGUUGUGUGUAUGUGUAUAUGUACAUAUAUAUAUAUAUAUAUAUAUAUAUAUAUAUAUAUAUAUAUAUUUAUAUAUGUCUGUUUGUCUGUCUGUCUAUCUAUCUGGCUGUUUGAAUGUCUCCCCCAAUGUGGUGUUGAGCACUCAUUUUCAUUGUUCAACAUUUAUGUGUGUGUGUGUGUGUGUGUGUGUAUGUAUGCAUGUAUGUAUGUAUGUAUGCAUGCAUGCAUGUAUGUAUGUAUGUAUGUAUGUAUGCAUGUAUGUAUGUAUGUAUGCAUGUAUGUAUGCAUGUAUGAGGUUUUCACGCUAUCUACCUGACAAUUUCUUGUUAAGUUUUCCUUAUUAAGUAGUUGUCCUUAAUUGCUAUAUAUAUAUAUAUAUAUAUUCUUUUACUCCUAUACUUGUUUCAGUCAUUUGACUGUGGCCAUGCUGGAACACCGCCUUUAGUCGAGCAAAUCGACCCCAGGACUUAUUCUUUGUAAGCCUAGUACUUAUUCUAUCGGUCCCUUUUGCCGAACCGCUAAGUUAUGGGGAUGUACAUACACCAGCAUCAGUUGUCAAGCAAUGUUGGAGGAGGGGGGACGACAAACACAGAUACACAAACAUAUACACACACACAUACAUAUAUAUAUAUAUACAUAUAUACGACGGGCUUCUUUCAGUUUCUGUCUACCAAAUCCACUCACAAGGCUUUGGUUGGCCCGAGGCUAGAGUAGAAGACACUUGCCCAAGUUGCUACUCAGUGGGACUGAACCCGGAACCAUGUGGUUGGUAAGCAAGCUACUUACCACACAGCAACUCAUAUAUAUAUAUAUAUAUAUAUAUAUAUAUAUAUAUAUAUAUAUAUAUAUAUAUACAUACACAGGCAUGACUGUGUAGUAAGAAGUUUACUUCCAAACCUCAUGGUUCCCAGUUCAGUCCCACUAUGAGGCACCUGAGCAAGUGUCGUCUACUACAGCUCCAGGCUGACCCAGGCCUUAUUUAUGGAUUUGGUAGGCAGAAACUGAAAGAAACCUGUUGUGUGUAUGUGUAUAUGUACAUAUAUAUAUAUAUAUAUAUAUAUAUAUAUAUAUAUAUAUAUUUAUAUAUGUCUGUUUGUCUGUCUGUCUAUCUAUCUGGCUGUUUGAAUGUCUCCCCCAAUGUGGUGUUGAGCACUCAUUUUCAUUGUUCAACAUUUAUGUGUGUGUGUGUGUGUGUGUGUGUAUGUAUGCAUGUAUGUAUGUAUGUAUGCAUGCAUGCAUGUAUGUAUGUAUGUAUGUAUGUGUAUGUAUGUAUGUAUGCAUGUAUGCAUGUAUGUAUGCAUGUAUCUAUGUAUGUAUGUAUCUUAGGUUGAAUUGAAAGUACAGUCAAAUUUCAAGAAAGGAACAAAUGCUUCUAUGUACUUAAUUGAUAUCUUUAAUCAAGAUGAUAUUUCCCUUCAUUGUUGUUAACAUAAUCCCCUCUAUUUGGCAAAUUGCUCAUCCCUAAGGUGCCAAAUUCUUUAGGUUUCAAAAGAAACUCAGUGUCAUUUUUAACUUCUUCACAAUUCAUAAACUGUUUUCCCAUUAAAUAAUGUUGCAAUGACCUGAAAGGAUGAUAGUCAGAUGGACCAAGGCCAGCAGAGUUAGGAGGAUGAAGCAAAAAUUCCAUAUUAAGUGCCAUAAUGUUUUUCCUGAGCAACUUGGACAAUGCAUGGUCCUGCAUUAUAAAAUAAGAGUGUAGUGACACCAUUUUGGAAGUUUUCAGCAUGCAUGAGCAGAAUUGGAUUUCUUCCGGGAGGCCGUCGGAAGUUCCCUCAUGUGCAGAGAACUAGCAACAGCAAGAUUUCCCGAAGCAGACACCGAAUUGAACGGACGCGUUAUCACAUCUCUCUCAAGCUGCCAACAUGUGGCGAAGCCACACUACGCUUGUUCAAGACAGCAUUUGGUUCACACCAUUUAGCUACAGCGACUAGCUCCCAUGGCUACCAGUUCGCCCUGAAGGAAAUAUAUGUAUAUGUAUUAUUGCGAAUCCAGAAAAAUAAAUAUUAUUUAUGCUGUUGAAGAUAUUCAAAGUCUUGGUUUUCCUUCGACAAAUAAUUUAAUGUAAUGGGAUGAGACCUGCACCCCUCAAGUGUUCCAGACCUUUCAUCCUUGUUACAAGAGUAAUACCCUUUUACGACUGACCAAUGAUGGGUGCUUUUUCUGCAAAUUUUUGUGGAAUGCUUCUUGUCCUCAACUGUAACAUUUUGGUUUAACAUUUUAUGAUAGACAAAACCCUUCACAUCUCACUAAACACAGAACAUAACUUUCUCAGUUAAAUCCUGUUUUUUUUGUUGGUAGGCAACUAUUAGAGUUUUCAUUGUAUAUCAUUAUAGAGAACUCACAUUUUAUCACUUGUGAUGAUUCUACCCUGGAAAGUUUUGGUAGCAAGUCUGGUCUUCAAUUAAUAUCAGAGAGCAACACUUUCAUGUAGCAGAGAAGCGGUCAGAAGAUGAAGGACUUAUUGACCAAAUUUACACACUUUCCCUUGUUCAUGAAAGGGUUUUAUGAUCAAAUUGUGACUUUAAUUGAACUGUUUUGCUAAUGCUUGUGCAGUUUGCUUUGGAUUUUUGUAAACUAAAGUUUUCAGAGGCUCAAUACUGGAAAAAACUUGGUCGUCCAGAUUGAGGGGACUCUGUUCAUAAAGAUUUCCCAAGUGCAACUGGCCAAACCAUUGCUGGGAUAUCUGGACACUUAACACUUCCUUUCCAUAUGACAGAAUGAAUAUUUCUUGCUGCUUACAUUGCUGAAGAGCCCCUUUUGAACUCAUUCAACAUGCAAUGUAUGAUGUGGGUCUGGUCUAAACUCACUUUAAAGGACAAAAUUGAUAUGUAUUUAAGCACUACCGUAUGAAGCAACCUGCAAAGAAAUAAAAACAAACAUUAGAAUGCAACAAGGAGAGCUUAUUUUACCUUAAGUAUCGAAAAAGUAUCUUCAAAUUAAUCAUCAUAUCAAACAUGCAACAGGAUUUUACAUGUAUGUAUGUAUGUAUGUAUGUUAUAUAUAUAUAAUAUAUGUACACAUACACAUAUAUAUAUGUACACAUACACAUAUAUAUAUGUACACAUAUAUAGGUGCAGGCUUCCUAAACGCAUGGUUCCAGGUUCAGUCCCACUGCCUGGUAACUUGCACAAGUGUCAUCUACAAUAGCCUUGGGCUGACCAAAGCCUUGUAAGCAGAUGUGGUAAAUGGAAACUGAAAGAAGGCCUCAUAUAUAUAUAUAUAUAUAUAUGUAUGUAUGUAUGUAUGUAUGUAUGUAGUUAUGUGUGUCUUUGAGUCUGUGUUUGCCUCCAACACCAUUGCUUGGCAACUGAUGCUGGUGUGUGUAUGUCCCUGUAACUAAGUGGUUUGGCAGAAGAGACUGAUAGUAUAAGUACCAGAUUUAUAAACAAUAGGUCCAGAGGUUGAUUUCUUUGACUAAAAGACGGUACUCCAGCAUGGCCCAAUCAAAUGACUGAAACAAGCAAAAAGGUAAAAAGAAUAUAUUGUUUUAUUUGUUUCACUCAUUUGACUGUGGCCAUGCUGGAGCACCACCUUUGGUCAAAUAAAUUGACCCCAGAACUUUAUGUUUGUAAGCCUAGUACAUAUUUUAUUGGUCAUUUAUGCCAAAGUACUAAGUUAUGGGUUAUGGUGACGUAACACCAACAUCAGUUGUCAAGCUUUGGCGGGGGUACAAACUCAGACAUACAAACACACACUAUACUGUGUUUGAAAUUUGUUAUCUUGUCUGUAAUAUAUAUAUGUGGCAAGAGGUAAAAAGGAUUAGUUUAAUUAAUUAUUUAGAAAGCACUCGAUGGCUAAUUGAACUUGGUUAACUACAUCAAACAAUCAGAUGCCAAUAAAUUCAAAUAGAAUUAACAAAUAAGGAUAUGAUACUCUCACAACUGAAACAAGUAUCUUGGGAGAGUCAUUAAAGCCAAUGCAUGUAUUUAGUAUUAUUGGUGUAAUGACCUUUCCAAGAUCCAACAAAAUUUGCUUCAACUCACAAGUUCACAUCAAGAAUGUUGCAAACCAAAUACAAAAUUGAAUUGUAAGAUAUAUAACAGGUGCAGGAGUGGCUGUGUGGUAAGUAGCCUGCUUACCGACCACAUGGUCACAGGUUCAGUCCCACUGCAUGGCACCUUGGGCAAGUAUCUUCUACUAUAGCCUUGGGCUGACCAAAGCCUUGUGAGUGGAUUUGGUAGAUGGAAACUGAAAGAAGCCUGUUGUAUAUAUGUAUAUAUUUAUAUAUAUGUUUGUGUGUCUGUUUGUCCCCACCACCACCACCACCACCACCACCACCACCAUUGCUUGACAGACUGAUGUUGGUAUGUUUACUUAGCAGUUUGGCAAAAGAGACUGAUAGAAUAAGUACAAGGCUUACAAAGAAUAAGUCCUGGGGUUGAUUUGUUCAGCUAAAGGUGGUGCUCCAGCAUGGCUGCAGUUAAAUGACUGAAACAAAUAUAAGAAUAUAUAGUAUAUAUAUAUGUAUAUAUAACAACAUAAACAAACAUGUACAAGUAUUCUUCAUUCUGAGAUAGAAAAUAUAGAAAAAUGGUUCCGGGUUCAGUCCCACUGCGUGGCACCUUGGGCAAGUGUCUUCUACUAUAGCCUCGGGCCGACCAAAGCCUUGUGAGUGGAUUUGGUAGACGGAAACUGAAAGAAGCCCGUCGUAUAUAUGUAUAUAUAUAUAUAUAUAUAUAUAUGUGUGUGUGUGUGUGUUUGUGUGUCUGUGUUUGUCCCCCUAGCAUUGCUUGACAACCGAUGCUGGUGUGUUUACGUCCCCGUCACUUAGCGGUUCGGCAAAAGAAACCGAUAGAAUAAGUACUGGGCAUACAAAGAGUGAGUCCCGGGGUCGAGUUGCUCGACUAAAGGCGGUGCUCCAGCAUGGCCGCAGUCAAGUGACUGAAACAAGUAAAAGAGUAAAGAGUAAGAGAGUUCUUGAUCAUAGUUAACCCAAUGAAGCAGCGACAGGCAGUCAUUGAAUAUUACUCGAAUGCAUAGCACUCAUUAAGAAUAAUGUUACAUGAAGCUACAUGAAUAAGGACCCAGCAACAUAAAAGUGAUGUGGGCUGCAGAAAUGUACUUUGUGAACCACUACUAAAACGGGAUGGUAACUUCCAUCCUUGUAUGAUUUUGCUUUUCAUUCUUUUUUUUGGGGUUUGAUAAAAUAAGUACAGAUUGAGUACUGGGGGGCAACGUAAUCGACUUAACCCUCCCCCAAAAUUGCUGGCCUUGCAUCAAACUUUGAAAUCAUCAUUUUAUAUAUAUGCAUACACACACACACACACAUACAUACAUAUAUGUAUGUAUGUACAUAUACACAUGUAUAUAUAUAUGCAUAUAUAUGUGUGUUUAUAUAUAUGUAUGUGUAUAUAUAUCUGUUUGUUUAUUGCCCACAUAGAGGGGACAAACAAGGACAGACAAAUGGAUUAAGUCGAUUACAUCGACCCCAGUGCGUAACUGGUACUUAAUUUAUCGACCCCGAAAGGAUGAAAGGUAAAGUCGACCUCGGCGGAAUAUGAACUCAGAACGCAACGACAGACGCAAUACCGCUAAGCAUUUCGCCCGGUAUGCUAACGUUUCUGCCAGCUCGCCGCCUUAUGUGUAUAUAUAUCUAUAUAUAUAUGUAUGUAUGUGUAUAUAUAUAUGCAUGUAUAUAUACACAUAUAUAUAUAUAUAUAUAUACACACUCAUACACACACACACACACAUAUAUAUAUAUAUAUAUAUAUACACACACACACACACACAUACACAAAUGUACACAUUUUGGAAAAUAUGCGUGUGAUUUUUCUUCCUAUGUUUUCAUAAUAUGUGAUAGUUGUAAACAAGUGUUACCAUUGUACAACACAUGUCUUUACUUUCAAUCUCCCAUGAAAAAUGCCUGCCUCUGUUCAAGUAGUACCUUGCUUAAAAACAAGGGAGUGCUGGUCACUGGAAGGUUAUAUCAUCCAGCUUUAGAAAACUUGCUUGAAUUAACGUCCAAUGAUCCAAGCAUGCAUAGUUAAGUGGUUGUGAUUACCAUGAUGAUGAUGAUUAUGGUGAUACAAAUAAGUGAAAAUUGAGUUUCUAUACUAAAAUAUUACAUAUGUAAAAUAAACAUACGGUUUGCACAACUGCUAUAUAUCAUUUCUAUAGACUCCUCUAUGGGUUUCUGGCUACCCAUUUCUUGAUUCAAAUAUUUCUUGAUAUAUAUAUAUAUAUAUAUAUAUAUAUAUAUAAUUAUUAUUUGAGGGAAUAAAAUCCAAACUUACAAGGAAAAAAAUUCAAUUGUGAAAUACUAAGUCAAAUUUCACACAAUAUAAAAUAUAUAUAAAAAAGUUAGAAUAUAUAUCAAUUUGCAUUGAUAAAAGGUGUUUUUUUCUAAUUUAUAUAUAUAUAAACGAUGAUGAUGAUGAUGAUGAUGAUGAUAUUUAUAUAUAUAUAAUAAUCAACCGAAAUUUCAAGGAUAAUCUGGUCCUUGAGUGAAGAUAGAAAAUUUCGAAUGACCCGUCUUUGUUUUCUUAGUAUCGUCUAUCUGGAUGUUUUGUCGUCCCUGUUUUGUAUCACAUAGUUGUCCGGAUGUUUUGCGUUCUUGUCCAUUUUGUAUUUUAUAUAUAUGAAUAUAUUAUAUAUAUAUAUAUAUAUAUAUAUAUAUAUAUAUAUAUAUAUAUAUACAUAUAUAUAUACACACACAUACACUCUUAUAUGCGUGCAUGCAUGCAUCCAUCCAUACAGACAUACUUUGUUGAGGCAAAUUUUCUAUAGACAGAUGAGGCCAAUCCUUAACAUUUCCAAAGCAGAAAAUAUUUUCCCAUGCCUAGAAUAUUUUUCAUGGAAGACUGGAAAUGGACAAACUUUCUUCUGUGAGGGGGAUGUUCAUUUACAGCCAACACAUUAUGACUAGACCAGAAUACACAUACAUACAUAAAUAUAUAAAUACAUGCACACACAUAUAUGUAUAUAUAUAUAUAUGUAUAUAUAUAUACACACAUACAUACAUACAUACAUACAUACAUAUAUACAUAUAUUUAUAUAUAUAUCCAUAUAUAUAUAUAUAUAUGUGUGUGUGUGUGGAGGCACGUGGCUUAGUGGUUAGGGUGUCAGCAUCAUGAUCGUAAGAUUGUGGUUUCAGUUCCUGGACUGGGCGACGCGUUGUGUUCUUGAGCAAAACACUUCAUUUCACGUUGCUCCAGUCCACUCAGCUGGCAAAAGUGAGUAACACUGCGAAGGACUGGCGUCCCGUUCAGCUAGGGAACACAUACGCCAUUGAAACCGGGAAACUGGGCCCAUGAGCCUGGCUAGGCUUUAAAAAGGUGCAUUUAUUUUUAUUUAUAUAUACAUAUAUAUAUACAUUCAUAAAUGAGGGUGAAAAAUUAGAUAUUAAUUUAAUAAUACCAUCAGUUUAACACCAAGUGGCCUAGCACAUAAAAACCAGGGAGAAAAUACAAAUUUAUACGUAAAUAUAAGAGGGUUACCGUUAAGUGGUUAACUCUAGUGCUAGAAAUAGCUCCUUAUUCUGGUAUAGCCACCGAAGCUGUAUCCACAAAAGAAAUAACAUUACCUUCAACGUAAGGAAAGUGAAAUACAACGAAAAGAUAGAUUAAUGCUGAACAAUUGUUUCUUUAUCAAUAUAAUAUGCAAUUAUACUCACAUAUUUAUCUAUAAGUCAUCAGCAGCAUUUGACUUCGAUACAAUUUAUUAGACUCUCACGGGUGAUAAAUACCCAUGCGGUCCAAUCGAUUGCAUACAUAGUUGUGAUUUAGCUUCCCCGCCAAAAGCAUGGUAAGACUUAGUGGAAACGAAUACUGCAUAUAAUAUUUACUGCAGUAUAUUAAAUUUAUAAAUUCAUAAAUGAGGGUGAAAAAUUAGAUAUUAAUUUAAUAAUACCAUCAGUUUAACACCAAGUGGCCUAGCACAUAAAAACCAGGGAGACAAUACAAAUUUAUACGUAAAUAUAAGAGAGUUACCGUUAAGUGGUUAACUCUAGUGCAAGAAAUAGCUCCUUAUUCUGGUAUAGCCACCAAAGUUGUUUCCACAAAAGAAAUAACAUUACCUUCAACGUAUAUAUAUAUAUAAAGUGGCGGAGAGUGUUUAUGCUAAAAUAAGAGUUACAUUAACUCUAAAGCCACCAAAGCCCUGUACUUAAUGACUGACAAAGGAAGGUAAGUCCCCAGUGUACACAGCUGUAUCACAAUUUCGAAUUUUGGGUGCAGACCACCUUAAUUCUCAUCAGCAGCUCUUAACACCUAGGGUUAAAUUCAACUUCCUUUGUCAUUCUUAUAAGAAACACUUUUGAAACCAUGUGCUGAUUGCUAAUAAGCCACCUUUAUUGUUUUGAAAAUCAGCACACGAUUACAACGGUGUUUCUUAUAAGAUUGUUAAAGUUGUCGUAUUUUGGUCAUUUCAACCAAUCAAUGACGUGUAUUCAGCUGUGUAAAAUUACUGCUGUUGUUUGUCAACAACAACUUCCGGCGGUGAAUAUUUCGUUAUUUAUGACAUCUUUCAUCUCAGUUACGUUUGUAUGAAUAAACGAGUUUAUCUGAAGCAUGUUUACUUCAUGGCACCACCAGAAUCGUUCGUGCUUCAUUUUUCAUGUUUUUCCGUAACUCUAACCCUAAAACCCUAACCUUAACUGUAACUCUAAAACCCUAACCCUAACCCUAAAACCCUAGCCCUAAUCCUAAAACUCUAAUCCUAACCCUAAAACCCUAACCCUAACCCUAAAACCUUAAAGCUAAACCAGUGCAAAUGCACGAACGAUGUCAUAAAUAACAGUGACAAACGAAAUAUACACCGCCGAUAGUUGUUGUUGACAAACAACGGCAGUAAUUUUAUUCAGCUGAAUACCCGUUAUUGAUUGGUUGAAAUUACCGAAAUAUGACAACUUUAACAAGAAAUAGCUUCCAAAAUACAGAAUUUUCUCAACAAUGCCAAGCGUAAAAGAUGUUUUAUGUGACACAUUCUACAAGCAUAGGAAGUUUGAAAGUGUUUAGUUCCAAAAAGUUAUUUUUUAAAUCUGUCGGUCAAAAGGUAAAGACCCCUGAACCCAGAAGCAUGUGGCUGGGAAGCAAACUUCUUACCACGCAGCUACUCCUGCGCAGUGGUGGCUCGUAGAUAAGAUUAGUGGGGGUUGCUGCUUCAAAAAAUGUUUAGCCGUUGUUUUAAUGAUGUGUAAAAGGAAACAAACAUAUAAAAAGAAUAUUUAUACAUAAACUUGAUUGGUUCGCGUUUUAGCUACUGCCUGGUGGUGUGUUUGAUUUGUUCACUGAACACCGCCGCUAAUUCCUCCUUGUUUUUCAAAACCUCCUCCUAAAUCACAAAAUAUGGGGGUGGGGAAACGUACCCUAUUUUUCAAAUCCUGGCAGCAACACUGAAGCUGGAAGCAGGAUAAUCUAUUUCUACACUUUAUCACAUUCAAGAAUAUAAACACGUUUUUAAGCAUAACACUACCUUUCGCCCGGCACUGUCGUUCAUGCACUGCUCUCUCUCUCUCUCUCUCUCUAGUGUGAAGCGUCCUAUCUCGGACAUGUGAGCAUGCGCACAACAACUAAAUACCGUGUCGCUGGGACUGUGAAGCGCACAGUGCUAUACAAGGAUUUUUGUAUUUUUUUCAUAAACUAGAGAAUGGCUACUGACAUUAAGCUUAGGGAUUAUAUAAUGUACAAGUAUAAAGACACACAUACACACACACACACACAACACUGAGUUUCCAAACACUGAUGGUUGGGAAUCUUUUAUAAUCCGCACUAAUUUACAAGCAGGAACUUCAGAUUCCAGCAACCACCAGACUGGUUUACUGGGGCGGUUCUGUUUCACAGUACCUUGCAAGGUACAAAAUAGAUUAACUUGCAUCAUUUAUAUUAAUGUACAGGUACUUCUAUUUCAUUCAAUUAUUCAUGUAUGGUAAAUGUAAUAUUUGUUUAAUUUAGCGGUGACUGCCCCCUGUUUGAAAAGAUCAAUAAUCAAGAAAGGCUUUGGAAUCCAAAAUUUUGGAAAAUCGAUGUACCUGUAUGUAUGUAGUGUGUAUAAAUACAUACAAUGUAUGCAAGUUUAUACACAGGCGCGAUACACACACACACAGAUUCUCCUGUAGUUUUAAGGAUCAGCAAUAAAUUGUUUGCUCUCAACUAAACCAUCCGUGGACAUAUAAUGCGCACACUUAAUUUUCAGUGGAGUCACAAUCUAAGCCAGAGUGAGAGGGAGUGAGGAAUGAUGGAGAUGCGGAAAGGGAGAAAGAAGAGAAUUAGACAGGGAGAGAAAGUGACAGGAAACUGUGGGGAAAGCACGAACCAUCAGGACGUGUGAAUAUAGAAUGGAGCUUAUAUACGGACAUAGAACAUUAUAUACACAUAGUAAUAUAUUACUGGCUGAACGAUGUAGCAAUUGGAGCGUACGUUUUCAAUUCGAGCAAAAUUAAUUGAGUUAAUUAUAUACGUGUUGUGUAUGAGAAUUGCAUGUGGGAGAUUAUGUAUAUAUUAUUUUUAUCAUUACUCUAUUGUAGAGUUUGUAAUAUCUAAGUAUACAGGAUCAAAGAAAGCCACAAGGGGCUAAACACAGAGAGGACAAACAGGGACAGACAAACGGAUUAAGUCGAUUAUAUCGACCCCUGUGCGUAACUGGUACUUAUUUAAUCGACCCCGAAAGGAUGAACGGCAAAGUCGACCUCGGCGGAAUUUGAACUCAGAAUGUAACGGCAGACGAAAUGCCGCUAAGCAUUUCGCCCGGUGUGCUAACGAUUCUGCCAGCCUACCGCCCUUUUGUUAUAUAUACCAGUGUAAAUCGCCUUUCGCUGUGGGUGGUUUCACCUGUUGUAACUGAAUCAAUAUUUGAUUUCUUGAAGUUUUAGAUCUAAUGAAAACUAUGGGAGAUAUUGCUUGCAACUAAUCUGUGAGCACUACAAAAAUUGUAUGAGAUAUUUUCAAAUUUCUCGGAUCAGUGAUUUUUUGAACCUUUAAACAUUGUAGUUAACGUGUCACUGCACAAUAUUGUGUUCGCGUGUGUAUACAUAGGUAGUAUCAGGGCCGGAUUAAGACCCAUAGAGGCCCUAAGCACUUAAAAAGUUUUGGUGCCUUCAAGUAUACCGUAAAUCCUCGAGUAUAAUACGCAGGGGAUUUUUAGGAGGCUGUACAUCUGAAAAACCUAAACCUUGUAUAUAAUAUGCACCUCUUCUCUAACUUGAGUCAUGAGUAAUUAAGCCAGCAGCACCUAGUCGAACAAACACUUCCGCGCAUACGUAAUACAAUAAUGAUGCUGUUCUUAACUGUUAUAUGGGAAUGUAAAUAUGUUUGCAAAUUGUUGUUGUUACGGGUUAUUCUGUGUUCUGAAUACUUUUAUUUUAAUAAAUGUAGCUUACUGCAAGUUAUGGAUGAUUCUUUUAUGACUUCAUUACUUUCAGGCUUAGCUUAAGGUAUUUUCGCGCCUGACAUCACAAAAUGCAUCUGAGUAAACAUUGGUGGACAGCAAAUUGAGACUCGGACAUUACUUAGAAAAUAUUUUAACCUCGUAUAUAGUACGCACUAGGGAUUUUGACCUUUAAAUUUUGAGGAAAAAAUGCGGAUUAUACUCGAGGAUAUACGGUAUGUAAAUAGUUCAAAAUGUAAACAAAAAUAAUUCAAAAUGUAAACGAUGAUAAACCAUAUAAUAAAUUUUUAUUUUUCAAAAUGAAACAGAACUAACAGUAAGAUGGAGAUCAAUGUUUAUUUUUGUAUGCUUCCACUUUAUUUAUAUUUGAAAAGUUUUCUCUUUCAUUUUUUUAAUUGCAAAGUAUUCAAUGAUAUCGUUAGAAUUAAUUUUACGAAAAACUUCUGCUUCUACACUUUGAAGAGAUAAGCCAUUACGAAUAUUUUCUUAACACGUUUAAAGCGAUUUCUUUGGUGCCGUAAACCAUUUUCAUUUCUGUGGUGUCCCCGCCCGUUGAUGCCCUAACCAUGUGCUUAUUUUGCUUAAUGGGUUAAUUCAGCGGUGGGUAGUAUACAUACAUACAUACAUAAAUACAUACAUACGUACGUACAUACAUACAUACAUACAUGCAUACAUACAUACAUACAUACAUACAUACAUACAUACAUACAUACAUUCACCCAUAAAAUUAUUAACCAUCUUACCAACAAUAACUCUGAGCACCUUUUCAAACUCCCUCUGUCUAACACCCGUGGACAUGUUUACAAAGUCAGAAAACAGCACAGCUCCCAUGACUUUCGGAAACAUUUUUUCUCGCUGAGAGUUGCUGAAGCAUGGAACAAACUGCCGGCAUCAGUUGUUAGUUAUCGGAGCACUGCAUCCUUCAAAACUUCCAUGCUUCCUGAGAUUCGCCAACACUACACCUGAUUUUCUCCCCUCCAUACACACACAAGCAUGUAUCUGACUCAUACAUUGUUCGCUUUCCAGACAUUUUUACAUUACUGCAUGUGCUUUAUACGCACUUUUGACAAGUUGUGGUGCACCUGAGCACUGUAUACAAUAAUUUCAUAAAAGGAAAUAUAAAAGGAGAAAGGGGCUCUCUACUCCCCUUUUGACCAGGCUCCCGUGGCUUUUAUAGGUUUUUGCAUGAGUAACCUUUCGAAGCGGCUCCCCCUAUUGGGAGUUUUAAUUGUUACUUACAUUUCGUUGUUAUCCUGCUUUUGCACACGGACUUUUUUCAAACGUACAAAACCCUUUGUAACCUUCGUCCUGUGUUUUUGUCCCUUUAUGUUUUAAUUGAUUUUCGUUAGUCCUUGUGGCCAAUAAACGAACGAAUUAUUAUUAUUAUUCAUUCAUUCAUUCAUUCAUUCAUUCAUUCAUUCAUUCAGACCAACAGACAGACAGACAUAGAGACAGAAAACUUCCACGUAAGAGAAUAACAGAGUUGCUUUUGGGGUUGAAAAUGCAUCUGAAUCUGAAAACGAAUUGUAGGUACAUUUUCAAUCCCUAAACCAAUUCUACACACACACACACACACACACACACACACACACACACACACACACAUAUAUAUAUAUACACAUAUAUACACAUACGUGGAGGCGCAAUGGCCCAGUGGUUAGGGCAGUGGACUCGCGGUCAUAGGAUCGCGGUUUCGAUUCCCAGACCGGGCGUUGUGAGUGUUUAUUGAGCGAAAACACCUAAAAGCUCCAUGAGGCUCCGGCAGGGGAUGGUGGUGAUCCCUGCUGUACUCUUUCACCACAACUUUCUCUCACUCUUACUUCCUGUUUCUGUUGUACCUGUAUUUCAAAGGGCCGGCCUUGUAACUCUCUGUGUCACGCUGAAUAUCCCCGAGAACUACGUUAAGGGUACACGUGUCUGUGGAGUGCUCAGCCACUUACAUGUUAAUUUCACGAGCAGGCUGUUCCGUUGAUCGGAUCAACCGGAACCCUCAUCGUCGUAAAACAAUUCCAAAACAAUGCGAACGCAUUGUGACCAGCGAUGUGUAACAACAUCUGAUGGUCUGGUCGGUCACAUGAUGAUGAUGAUGAUGAUGAUGAUGAUAUACACAUACAUUGAAAUCUAUAUCGUCAGUCGUUCAUAUAAUCCGGAAAAGAACACUCUUAAAACAUUAGAGCAACAAUAUAUUUAGAAGAUUGUUAUGGCCGAGAGGUUAUGGGCGAAACCAAUGUUCACUCUACGACGGACCAUAAAAGACAGCCCACUAAAC
rnacentral:lncRNA from 1 species